UACGAAGGGGGCUAGCGUUGCUCGGAAUCACUGGGCGUAAAGGGCGCGUAGGCGGCGUUUUAAGUCGGGGGUGAAAGCCUGUGGCUCAACCACAGAAUGGCCUUCGAUACUGGGACGCUUGAGUAUGGUAGAGGUUGGUGGAACUGCGAGUGUAGAGGUGAAAUUCGUAGAUAUUCGCAAGAACACCGGUGGCGAAGGCGGCCAACUGGACCAUUACUGACGCUGAGGCGCGAAAGCAUGGGGAGCAAACAGG
rnacentral:rRNA from 1 species